CUGCCAUGGCGGGUGGGUGAAAGACCCGAGCUAACAUGGGGUUAGUUCGUUAAAUUACAAUAAAGCCUCGUGCAGUUUGCAGCAAGCUCUCGAAUCCGCCUGGUGAUUGGGGUGACCGCGAACCUGGCCUGAGACCCCGGAUACUUGAGUUUUCGGGGGUCUAACAUUUUGGGGGCUCGUCCGGGAUUUGCGACCACCCUUCACCUGAGUGGAUUCGAUCUUGGAGCACAUGGCACGGGAAAGGAGUUCUGCCAUGUGUCACGGGUUAGAAUGUGUUAUGUUGGAGUCCCCCGAGGCUGCUUUUCUGAACUCGAACCACUGCUGCAGCCCUUACAGCUGAGCCUGGCCCAUGUAGUUUAUAAUGUCAGACAGACUGCCAGAUCCUGACAGUGACCCAAAGUCUCCAAAGAAGAUUACGAGGCACCUCAGUUCCUACACCUGGACCAGUGAGCGAGAUGCUCAGAUGUGAUACCUGCCGCCUGCCAGAACCUGGCCGAGACUGUGGACAAAGCUGCUGGACACUGGAAAAUUGAUUGCACCCCUUUGCCUAGACAAAACAAGGUCAGUCUUUUCCAUGUCCCUCUUCCACAGAGAGGAAAAAAACUCUCACAGUAUAGGCCUGGCGAAGAUUGCUGGUCUUUGAGACAGCUGCCUCCAACGGUAAUGGAGAAACUUGGGUUUGGCUAACUGUAUAUAGACUGGCUUCUGUCACUUUUCAGUAGAUUCGGAUAAA
rnacentral:lncRNA from 1 species